CGGCCUCGACCUGCCCCGGGGAGAUGAAAUGGAUGUGGGUAUCCACUGCACCCGCGGUGACAAUCUUUCCCUCACCAGCGAUAACCUCGGUGCCCACGCCGAUAGUGAUGUCGAUGUCGUCCUGAAUAUCCGGGUUUCCUGCAGCACCGAUCUUGAGAAUGCGGCCGUCCUUGAUCGCAAUGUCAGCGACGUAAAUACCGGUGUAGUCAAUGAUUAGCGGACCGGUGAUGACCACGUCCGGUAUCUGCUGGUUACCGGUCACACGGCUGUUCUGGCCCAUGCCGUCGCGG
rnacentral:sRNA from 1 species